rnacentral:tRNA from 1 species
GCUUGGUUAGUGUAGCGGUUAUCACUUCGGAUUCUGAUGCAGAAAUCUCCUACAGCUUCCGACAACCCUGGUUCGAUUCCAGGAUCGAGGG